UACGUAGGUGGCAAGCGUUGUCCGGAUUUACUGGGCGUAAAGAGCGCGCAGGCGGUCGUUCAAGUCGCGUGUGAAAGCCCCCGGCUCAACUGGGGAGGGUCACGCGAUACUGAUCGACUCGAAGGCAGGAGAGGGAAGUGGAAUUCCCGGUGUAGUGGUGAAAUGCGUAGAUAUCGGGAGGAACACCAGUGGCGAAGGCGAAUCUCUGGACAGUUACUGACACUGAGGCACGAAGGCCAGGGGAGCAAACGGG
rnacentral:rRNA from 1 species